GGUAAUUUCAGGGUCAAUGUAUAUGCAUUGAUUGGUUAGCGUCUUUUGGCAAUUUUUCUGAAAAAACCCCCCCAAUAAAAACCAAAAAACCAGACAACUCUAAAAACAUUAAAAAAUACAAAAGUAGUAAAUAUAUUACUGUUUAAAAAGUGUACGAAUAAAAAAUUAUGCUCACAUACUGUACACAUGUAUAUAACAUACAGGUACAUAUGGCUUAAGGAGAACAAAUCCCCGCCGUGAGGAAGUAUCGUUUAUGAAUUGCAUGUGAAUCUCUUGUUUCAGUGGAGAACACCGUUAAAUCCACGCUAGAAAAGAAACUGUUGACAGAACUGGAAAAGAACGUCGACUGGAAGAACAGCCCCAAGUAAGUCCAUCAAACGGCAAUGCUUCGAAAUUUUAAUUUCAUCACAUUAUUGAGGCACCUUGUAAGAAUAGAUAUCCGUGACAUAUUGUUUGUACAGGUUUUACGAAGAGGCCUUACAGCUGAUCAAGGAGAAUGAGGGCCAAAUUCUGGGUGGAAUCAUGAGGAUGGUCAUUGACAAAUCAAACGGCACUGGAGUAAGUACUUGAAUACAGGUGGAAUAUUAUAUAAAGGGAGGGGGCUUUAUGAUACCAUGGGUCGGCCCGGAAAUUUCUAAUUAAUAUACUGAAGAAUAAUAAAAUUCAGGAGUACUGGCAUCUUUUUAGAAAACAAAGGUUUUGCUGGAAUAUUCGUACCCCACCUCUAAGAUUGUCUUAUGUAAUAUUGUAAGUUCGCUCUGAUGAAAAUGACCAUGAAUUUAGUCCUUCUUUUUACUUUAUUUUUACAGAAACUUUCCAUCAAAACGGCUGAGGAGGUAGUCUCUGACUUCCUGACCUCCAGGACUCACCACAAGAGAGACGAGGACGAUCACAUGAUGCCCAACUACCUCAACAUCAAGUUUGGCGGAUUUGGUGAGUAUCUAAAAAAUUACUUCAACGUGAAAAUUUAUAAAAUGGUAUACCUUUAAAAUUGAAGUUGACAUCUUCAUGUUGUUUAAUGCUGCAACAAUUUUUUUUUAAUUUACAGGCAAAUAGCUUGUUGGAAUGUUACCACUUGCUAAUAAUUGCUGACAGAAUUAUGUGCAAUAAAAUUCACGGGAAAGGGCGGCUACUCUUAUAUAUACACCAUAUGUACAUAUUAUCAUCUUGACUUGCAGUUCUUUAUAAAUAAAACAUGGACUGUG
rnacentral:misc_RNA from 1 species